GGAGGACUGCCUGAACACUCAGGCAGUCUGAUAGACCGCUAUUGCGGCCAUGUGACUGCGACGUACGUCGCAAUCACGUGGCCACGGUGUGCCGAAAUGGAAGCAAGGGACCUGCCAGUCUCCUGAGGAAGUCCCCCCGGACAGGGAUAGUCGGUGCAGGUAAGUCUGUAAGGACAGGGGAAGGUAAUGAUCAUUAGGGCGUACUAUGCCAUCCAAACACUGUUUAGGCUCACUAAAUGUGGGAUGGCAUAGUACUCCCUAACGACGUUAAGAUGUUAAUUUAGGAUUUGCUUUUCCAUGGGGAGGUCUAAU